AGGCGGUCUUUACAGAGAUUGGCAAUUAAUUUAAGCCAAUCUCUGGCGAGGUCGGUGUGAUGCGCUUGCGUUUGGACUGAGUUACUUUAGCGUUAACCAGAAUCCUUUUCUAGUCCCGUCGUCUAAGCCAAUGGCUGAGUGGCGGGGGCGGGUGUAAGGUGACUGACCUCACCCUAGGCAAAUGACAAUGAAGGAAAUGGAGGUGCCCCGUUUUGGUGGGAGCUAGAGGAAGCGCCGCUGCAUUGGGGCGGAGCCAGCCACCAGAUGCCGGGAGGGGAUUAGCCGGAACCGGAUUGAAUGGCAGCCGACGUGGGCAUUGGCCACCGGCUGCAGGAAUUCAGGCCUGACGUCUGGGUUAGAGUCCCCGGAGGCCGGCCGGGUAAGCCAGGCACGUGGCCUGCUUGAGGCCUUGGAGACGGGUGCUUCCGGGGGUGGGGUGGCCCCAAAGCAAGAGGAAACUCAGGGAUCCUCUCAUACCCUCUCCUCUUUCCAUCCAGGGAUCUAGGGUCUUUACUUCUCUUCCAGAACGCAUGGAACCGGCUCUCCUACCAACUCAAGGGUCUAGAUUUCCUCCCAGGACCGAGGACUCUUAAUUCGACACCCUACAUCAGCUUCACAUAAGGACAAGUCGCAGCAAGCCAAACUGGAGUCCAGACUAGUCCCAGGCUGCACCCAGGAGAGGAGGCACCAGGAAUUUUCUGACCCAGGCAACCAGCCUGCUUCUCCUGACAAAUCUGCCCUCGGUCCCGAGCCUGGAAGGCCCUUUGGGGCCAGGGGACACUGGAUCUUCCCCUCCAUUUCUGCCCAGGGUGGUGGACAGUGUCACAGACGAUAGACUGACCAGGCCACUAGGGUCCUUCAUGUCCUUGCCUGACUUCAGCCAAAGACACUUGAGCAUCUAGGAGAGAAGAAGGCCAGGAGGAAGCUCUCCAUGGGCCUGGAUUCACACCGCCCCUGCCACCCCCUCUGAGGGACCCACACCUCAUAGACGGCCAGGUCGGUGCAGGCAUACGGGAUGAUGCCGAGCAUGUUGGGGAGGUACCCGCGGUAAAGGGCGCGGGUGCCCUCCUGCUCCAGGAUCUGCCUGGCACAGUCCAGCAGCCCCUUGUACUGGCCAGUCCGGCGCAGGGUCAGCCGCGUCUUCAGCACCUGGGGAGGAUGAAGAGUAAGGCGGCUUAUUUGAGCCUCAAUGACCCCCCAGCACAGGAGGCAACUGCUCAAGAAUGCACACAGCUGGGUUUCAAACCCAGCUGCCUCGGCCCGUAAGUGCUCUCAAAGGGUGAGGGAGGGAUUUCGUCGGCAGUUCAGUGGUUAAGACUCCAUGCUUCCACUGCAGGGGGCACAGGUUUGAUUCCUGGUUGGGGAACUUAAGGGGGCUUCCCAGGUGGCGCUAGUGGUAAAGAACCCGGCUGCCAACACAGGAGACAUAAGAGAUGCAGGUUCAAUCCCUGGGUCAGGAAGAUCCCCUGGAGAAGGAAAUGGCAACGUGCUUCAGUAUUCUUGCCUGGAGAAUCCCAUGGACAGAGGAGCCUGGUGGACUACAAUCCAUGGGGUCGCAUAGAGUCGGACACAACUGAAGAGACUUAACAUGCACUCAUGGGGAACUAAGAUCCUGUGUGAUAUGAGAUACAGCCAAGAAAAUUAAUAAAACUAAAAAAAAAAAAAAAAGAUGAGAGAAGUGAUGUGAGCUGAGUGGGGCCUGCAGCGGCCCUAACCCAGCCAAACUUCCUCUACUUGGACCCCAGGUAGGCAGAUCUGCCAGUUUUCCCAAAGAAGCCAGAAACUGGAGUUUUUAUGAAAUGCCCCAACAUCAAAAUGUUGGCAACUCAACAGUUGUGGAAAAGACAGCACACCGUUUGUGGUAGGCAAAAUAAGGUGGUCCCCAUGGUUCCGGUCCCCCUUAUACACAUGCUUUGUUUAAUGGCCUCCCUUUGCCCUUGAAAAUGGUCUACACCUGUGAGCGUGAUGGACUGUAACUCUCUUGGAUCAGGGUACACAAAGCACAAAGGCAGAGGGAUUUUGCAGAUAUAAUAAAGCCCCUAACCAGUUAACUUUAUUUUUUAGAUGUUUUUUAAUUGGCAUAUAAUUGCUUUACAAUGUUGCCUUAGUUCCUGCUGGACAGUGAAGUGAAUCAGCUUUACAUGUACAUAUAUUCCCUCCCUCUUGGAUCUCCCUCCCACCUGCCCCCAUCCCACCCAUCUCCAUCACAGAGGUGAGCUUCCUGUGUCACCAGUUGACUUAAGUUAAUCAAGAGAAAUCAUCCUGGGUGGGCCUGACUCAAUCAGGUGAGCCCUUUAAAAGAGUCAGAAGAAGAGAUUGAAGGUUCAGAAACAGUUUUGGAUUGGCGUUUUAUAUCUUGGCCAUGCUUCUCGGCUCACAGGAUGUUAGUUCCCCAACCAGAGACUGAACUUAGGCCCGUGGCAGUGAAAGAAGUGUGGAAUCCUAACCGUUAGACUGUCAGGCAGCUCCCUAGGGUUGGUCUCAAACAAACUGUUAUGGAGAGGACCACAGGGCAGGGAACAGUGGGUAGCCUCUGGGAGUUGAGGACUGUCAGUCCUACAACCAUAAGAAACAAUCCUGGUAAUAACCAGGGAGCUUGGCAGAGGACGCCCGAGCCUCAGAUGGGUUCAUUGGUAGCCCAACUGUCUGACACCUUGAUUUCCGCCUGAUCAAACCCUGAACUGAGGACCCGACUAGCCAGUGCCCAGACAUGACCCACGGAAACAAUGAGAUAAUAAAUCUGUAUCAUUUUAAAAGCUCUUGAGUGUGGUAAUUUGUUAUGUAAAAAUCAAAAUAAAAACACAGAUGCAAACUAUUAUAUAUAGAAUGGUAAAGAAGGUUCUACUGUAUAGCACAGGGAACUUUAUUCCAUAUCCUUUAAUUAACCCUAAUGGAAAAGAUAUAUUUUUUUCUUUAAUGUAUUUAUUAAAAAUUGCAUACAUGUGACUGAAUCACCUUGCCAUGCAGGAGAAAUUAACACAACAUUGUAAAUCAACUAAUUUUCAAAAACAAAAACACGAAGAAACUCAACCAGACAAGGGCAAGAAUUAUGUGAAGAAAGCUUUAAAAGACUGUUUAGGGAACAAAAGAGACUUGACCAAAUGGAUGUAUUCUUGGAUAUGUAGACCCAAUAUUGUAUAGAAAGUGAAAAUGAAAAUUUUCGUUGCUCAGUCAUGUCUGACUCUGCAGCCCCAUGGACUGUAGUCUGUCAGGCCCCUCUUCCAUGAAAUUCUCCAGGCAAGAAUACUGGUGUGGGUUGCCAUUCCUUCCUCCAGGGGAUCUUCCCAACCCAGGGAUCAAACUUGGAUCUCCUGCAUUGCAGGCAGGAGCCACUGUCUGAGCCACCAGAUGGCAAUAAUCUCUAAACUCACUUGAGUUUAGAGUAAAUGAGUAAAAAACAAAUACCAAUGUGUGAUUUUGUUUUCUGAACAAGGCAGAUUACUUCUAAUGUUUUAAAAGGAAAAAUAUCAAUGGAGAAUAGCCUGGAAAACCAAUAAGAGAAGGGAUAGAGAAAAAUAAGACAUAAUAUCAAGCCUCAAAAAUGAAAGACUGGGCUGGGACUUCCCUGGGUGUCCAAUGGUUAAGACCCUAAUCCAAUGUAGGGGGCGAGCAUUCAAUACCUUGUUGAACAUAUGCCACAGGGUGCUGCCAAAAGAAAAAAAGGGGGCAAAACCAUAUAGACAGUAACAUGAUCAGUGGUUGUUAGGGACUGGAGGAAGGAGGGAGAGGUGAAUAAGUGCAGUACAAUGACUUUUUAGGGCAGUGGAAUUUUUCUGCAUGAUGCUAUUAUGGUGGCUACGUGUCAUUCGUUUGCCAAAACCCAUAGCAAGUCACAACACCAAGGGUGAACCCUGAUGUCAACCAUUGGCUUUAGUUAAUAAUAAUGUAUCAAUAUUAGCUCAUCAAUUGUAACCAAUGUACCACCCAAAUUCAAGUUGUUAUUGAUAGCGGAAACUUCGUAUGUAAGCCAAGAUAUAUAUGGGAAUGCUCUUGUCUUUUUUACCUAAUUUUCCUGUAAACCUAAAACUGUGCUACAAAA